AGCCACCAGAGAAGCCCCAGAAUAAUGGAGUGGGUAGCCUAUCCCUUCCCCAGUGGAUCUUCCCAACCCAGGAAUUGUACUUGGGUCUCCUGCAUUGCAGGUGGAUUCUUUACCAACUGAGCUUCCUGCCCUUCCUGCCCUUUAUUUUUAAUUCCAAAGGUGCCUUUCCAUCCUCUUCCUUCUGGGUGGGCCCUCUUCUUGCAGGAAGUCCUGCAUCACGUACAUUCCAUAUCAGCUCCUGGCCAGCUCCUUUCCACGGCAUCCGCAGAGCACAGAUGGUGCCCUGAGUCUGUAACAGUGCGCCUGUGUCCACGGCAGUGUUCUUUGCUGUACAGGCAUCCAGACAAAUUCUUUUGUCUUUAUAAUGUUCAGACACAUUGUUUGCUACUUCCUGACAUUUCAAGUUCUUCAAAUCAUUCUCUGUUAUCUCCAUAUUUGGCUCAAAGUGAGUGGUAAACAUGAUUCAUGGUGAGGCAAGGAAAAACCCACAGUGCCUCCAAACUCUUUUUAGAGAAGACAUUCUCGAAUGCCUUCAAUCUCUCAGCAAAUUCUUAGCCUUGUCUGAUAUUCCAUCAGGAUCUGAGACAAACCAGAAGUGGAACAAUCAGGUUCAGAAUCUUUUAUCCCUUACUGCACAGAUGAUCUGAUAUGAUUGCAUUGCUCUUGGAAACUCUGAAAUGAUAUAAACAAACACACGCAAGUGGUGAUAGCAGUCAUUGGUUGUUGGUCUACAAUUUGCAAAGCGGUGUACAAAACAGACCUUUCUUUAUUUAGUCCUUAUGGGAAUCUAUCAUGAAAGGUGUUGUUGUUAAAUUGCUAAGUCCUGUCCAACUCUUCGUGACCUCAUGGACCGCAGCAUACUAGGUUUCUUUGUCCUUCACUAUCUCCUGGAGUUUGCUCAAACUCACAUCCAUUUUAUUCAGUGAUGCUAUCAACCAUCUCAUCCUCUGUCAUCCCCUUCUCUUCCUGCUCUCAAUCUUUCCCAGCAACAGGGUCUUUUCAAAUGAGUCAGUUCUUCACAUCAGGUGAAGUAUUGGAGCUUCAGCUUCCGCCUUCUCCUUCCUUCCCAUGACAGCUCCAGCCCCAAUCAUGGAAGGCUGCCACGUCACACUGAGCAGAGUUCCGUGCGCGAUACUGCAGUUUCCUGUUGUUUUCAUUCUGUAUCUGCGACGUGAAAUAUUUUCUGCGCUAUGCUCUACCAGUAAAGAAGGCUUUUCAAAAUGCAGAUUUCUGAACCCAGAUUAAAAGAAGCCAGCUACUUUGGAAGCCACCAGCUUCUUCCUCUUCAAUAAGUGCUGAGAGUUGGGGGGAUUCAAGUCUCAGCCAUCUGCUGCACCAGCCAUCUUUCACAGCAAACAAGGAAUUAGGAAGUGAACAAUGAAGCAGAAAUGGUCCCAGAUAGCUAGAUGCAUACAAAAGAAUGAUUUCACCAAGCCUGGACACUUAUCUUCCCAUACAUAGAAGAUCGCUAAAUCUCUUCACGUGAGAGAUUUAGGUUUUCUUACUUAACCUUUCAAUAUUCAGAUUACCUGCCCCUUGCUGCAAACUUGUAUAUAACCUGGCUUCUCCCUUGCCUCCUCCGAGUCAGCUGUCUCAGGGUCACCUGAGAUACUGUCUCCUGGGCCCAAGUCCUAACAUUCCCACCGAAUAAAACCAAACUCUCAGCUUUUAGGUUGUGCGUAUCUUUUUCCAGUUGACAUAUCUAUAUGAGAUGAUGGAUAUUUACUAAACUUGUUGUGAUAAUCAUUUCAUGACAUACUUCAGUCCAAUCAUUAUAUUAUACAUCCUAAACUUAAGAGAGUACUAUAUGUCAGUUAUGUAUCAAUAAAAACAAAACAAAACAAAACUGGAAGUGGGGCUGCAGUGGGAACCAAGUUAGGGCAUCCGACCAGACAAAGGGGGUUGUUUGGACACCAAAGACACCACACACAGCUGACUGCUAUCUAUGCAAAUUUUUCCAGGCUCUAAAGUUAGACACUGUUUUGUGUUGUCCCAGCCUAUCAAUAACUAAUGUGGUUAAACCAGCUCUUGUGGUGCUUACUAUGAUGGCAAGAUACUUUUUAGCAAUAACUACCAGGAAGCUCUGAACAAAAUAAAGGUUUAUUACUUACAAGAACUGGAAAUUACAUAGCACACCUGGGGCCACACGGUGAGGUUGAGAUUAG
ensembl:lncRNA